ACUAUUUUGGCAGAUUAGUGCGUUAAAUUUAGGAUUUAUUUAUGUAAUAUAUAUUACAAAUAGUA
rnacentral:tRNA from 2 species